AAUUUCUUCACUGAGAUCACAGGAUCAUUUAAAGCUGUCCAAACACUUAGGAUGAGUGUCCAGAUAGUCUGUUUCUUUUUUUUUCUCAGGAAAUUUGGAAGUGGGACAGCUUACUCACUGUAGAUGAUUCAUAUCUUUAUAUCCUAGUUUGAAGCGGUUCACCACACCAUGGCCACAACUUCAAAAGUGUCAGAUGAUCAUCAGACAUCACUCCUGCCUAGCAAAGAAAUGCAAACAUCCUUACCAUCAAGAGCGCUAAGUGGGGUAGUACUGAAGCAUGCCAGGCAAGGAAGUCACUUCAAAGUAAAGCUGAAACACGUGAAGAAGUUGUGGGGGAGAGAGCACUAGCAGGAGGAAAUUAGUUUGACCU